GUUUCAUCAUCUGUCCUGAGGAAGGGUAUUUCCAUAGAGCAGGUGAUUUGCAUUGGCAGCUCAGGCUUCAGUGCUCUGAGAGUGUUUAUAGCCCUGUGAGUUUCAGACUGCAGGACUGAGAUCUGUCCUGACACUUUAAGACUGCAGUGUUAUCAUUGUUGUGUCCAGUCUGUUGUCUUCUCAGAGCCACAGAUGAUGAUGAACAUGAUGAAGAUGAUAUCACUGAUUCCACUGCUGAUCACAGUGGGGUUCCUGACUCAGGAGUUAUCUGCACAACGUGUCCUGAAUCAAGCUGAUGAAUCGAAGUCUGUUCGUCUGGGAGAGAGUGUGUCUAUCAAAGCUGUUGCAAGUUCAACCGGUAUUGGUGAUGACAUGAGCUGGUACCUGCAGAAACCUGGACAGGCUCCCAAACUCCUCAUCUAUAAAGUAAAAACCCUUCAGUCUGGAACACCAUCUAGAUUCAGUGGCAGUAGAUCAGGUACUGAGUACACUCUUACAAUCACUGAUGUCCAAGCUGAAGAUGCAGGAGAUUACUAUGGUAUGGGUAAUUUUGGCAGCCCAGAGCUCUUCACACAGUGAUUUAGAGUCAUACAAAAACCUCCCUCAGGCAGACUGCACAGAGACUCUACUGCUGCAGCUGGGAACUACUGCAGGUGUUGAGGAGCAACAGACAUGAAACACUGGUUCACUGAACACACAACUCAGAUCCUGGUUAUAUGACAUCACCAAGCAUAAAUAACCACUACUUUACCACCAUACAAAACAUCUGUUUAAAACUCAAAAAUGAUUCUCAAACACACCACAUAGUUUAGUCAUGAUCAAAACCAACAACUAUAUCCUUUAA